rnacentral:rRNA from 1 species
AUUGAACGCUGGCGGCAGGCCUAACACAUGCAAGUCGAGCGGAGCGGCGGACGGGUGAGUAAUGCCUAGGAAUCUGCCUGGUAGUGGGGGAUAACGUUCGGAAACGGGCGCUAAUACUGCAUACUAUCAGAUUAGCUUAGGUCGGUUUAGCUGGUUGGUGGGGUAAAGGUCUACCAGGGCAACGAUCACUAGCUGGUCUGUGUGGAUGACCAGCCACACUGGAACUGAGACACGGUCCAGACUCCUACGGGAGGCAGCGUUGGGGAAUAUUGCACAAUGGGCGCAAGCCUGAUGCAGCCCUGCCGCGUGUAUGAAGAAGGCCUUCGGGUUGUAAAGUACUUUCAGCGGGGAGGCGUUACCCGCAGAAGAAGCACCGGCUAACUCCGUGCCAGCAACCGCGGUAAUUC